CAGAUUCUGGUUUAUACGUUCCUUUUAGUUUCGACUUUAGGGAUAAUUUUUUUCGCUAUCUUCUUCCGAGAACCACCUAAACAAAGGGCAAUGAAUCAGGUCCGACGGCGGGUUUUCCAACAGGCCGUACAAGGAGCUCUAGGAACUCUGAAUAGUUGUUUGAAUACCGAGUUACAGUGCUAG
rnacentral:rRNA from 1 species